rnacentral:rRNA from 1 species
CCUACGGGGGGCUGCAGUGAGGAAUAUUGGUCAAUGGGCGCAAGCCUGAACCAGCCAAGUCGCGUGAAGGAUGACUGCCCUAUGGGUUGUAAACUGCUUUUAUACAGGAAUAAUGAUCUCUACGUGUAGGGAAGAGGAAUGUACUGUAUGAAUAAGGAUCGGCUAACUCCGUGCCAGCAGCCGCGGUAAUACGGAGGAUCCGAGCGUUAUCCGGAUUUAUUGGGUUUAAAGGGUGCGUAGGUGGGCUGAUAAGUCAGCGGUGAAAGUUUGUCGCUCAACGAUAAAAUUGCCGUUGAAACUGUCAGUCUUGAGUAUGUUUGAGGUAGGCGGAAUGCGUGGUGUAGCGGUGAAAUGCUUAGAUAUCACGCAGAACUCCGAUUGCGAAGGCAGCUUACUAAACCAUAACUGACACUGAUGCACGAAAGCGUGGGGAUCAAACAGGAUUAGAUACCCUAGUAGUC